AAAGGGUGCGUAGGCGGGAUCUUAAGUCAGGGGUGAAAUCCCGAGGCUCAACCUCGGAACUGCCUUUGAUACUGGGGUCCUUGAGUCCGGAAGAGGUGAGUGGAACUGCGAGUGUAGAGGUGAAAUUCGUAGAUAUUCGCAAGAACACCGGUGGCGAAGGCGGCUCACUGGUCCGGAACUGACGCUGAGGCACGACAGCGUGGGGAGCAAACAGGAUUAGAUACCCCUGU
rnacentral:rRNA from 1 species